CCGUGCUGAGGUGGGUGUGCAAAACCCUGCUUUGCUGCCUUGUUCCUGUUCUUUCACAGGUGAGAACCAAGGUUCUUGUGAAUUCAUACCCAAACAGAUGUCUUCUCUACAUCACAGAAGUGAGGCAGUGAGCUGCGAGUAGGACAGACUCAACAAAACACACCAGGAAGGGCUUGUCAAGCAUACUACCAGCAUGUCAGGUUGAAGAGCAAAGAGCUGAGACACUGGGAAACUUGCAUGGAGUUAAGUGAGCUUUGCUGAUAAACUCCCUAAUUUCCAAAGAAAAACUCAAGUUUUCAUACUGCUAAUUUUCAUUCUAGCUUUGUUCUUAAUGAUUAAUUUAAGCAGUGUGGUGGAGUUAUUUUUGGAGACACCGAGUCAGAGAAUCAUUUCACACAGCUUUCAUGCUGUGAGAUGGAGCAUUUGGGUUUGAAUAUGAAUUUGAUAGUAGCAACACUAGCAGUGGGAAGCUUUUUCUGCCAAAGGGAGUCAAAAUGAAAUGGAACUGAGAACUCCAUCAGCAAGAGUUAGUCAGGUACAGCUGUGCUGCCAUAGUUCAAGUCCUUUCUUCUUCCCCUCUUAAUCAAGUGAUGGAAAGAGUUCCUGCCUGGCUCAGCAGUUCAAAUCCAAGUCUGCUGUAAAAACCUAAGGCCCUUCAUAAAUGUUGGCCUCUACUAAUUUAUGUCAAGAGAACAGAGGCUGGCUAACUAACCUGGUGAUCUAGAAGAGCUAAUUUUGGCUCAAGAGCUACAUUCAAAUCUGGUUUCUUAAAUCUCAGUCUAAUUCUUUGCAAAAUAAUGAAAACUAGUAGAAGACCAGCUAGGGGUUAGGGGGAAUGUUUCUCACAGAGACAAGGG